AGUGAACGCUGGCGGUAGGCCUAACACAUGCAAGUCGAACGGCAGCACAGUAAGAGCUUGCUCUUACGGGUGGCGAGUGGCGGACGGGUGAGGAAUACAUCGGAAUCUACUUUUUCGUGGGGGAUAACGUAGGGAAACUUACGCUAAUACCGCAUACGACCUACGGGUGAAAGCAGGGGAUCUUCGGACCUUGCGCGAUUGAAUGAGCCGAUGUCGGAUUAGCUAGUUGGCGGGGUAAAGGCCCACCAAGGCGACGAUCCGUAGCUGGUCUGAGAGGAUGAUCAGCCACACUGGAACUGAGACACGGUCCAGACUCCUACGGGAGGGAGCAGUGGGGAAUAUUGGACAAUGGGCGCAAGCCUGAUCCAGCCAUACCGCGUGGGUGAAGAAGGCCUUCGGGUUGUAAAGCCCUUUUGUUGGGAGAGAAAAGCAGCAGGUUAAUACCCCGCUGUUCUGACGGUACCCAAAGAAUAAGCACCGGCUAACUUCGUG
rnacentral:rRNA from 1 species